AGUGAACGCUGGCGGUAGACCUAACACAUGCAAGUCGAACGGCAGCACAGUAAGAGCUUGCUCUUACGGGUGGCGAGUGGCGGACGGGUGAGGAAUACAUCGGAAUCUACUUUUUCGUGGGGGAUAACGUAGGGAAACUUACGCUAAUACCGCAUACGACCUACGGGUGAAAGCAGGGGAUCUUCGGACCUUGCGCGAUUGAAUGAGCCGAUGUCGGAUUAGCUAGUUGGCGGGGUAAAGGCCCACCAAGGCGACGAUCCGUAGCUGGUCUGAGAGGAUGAUCAGCCACACUGGAACUGAGACACGGUCCAGACGCCUACGGGAGGCAGCAGUGGGGAAUAUUGGACAAUGGGCGCAAGCCUGAUCCAGCCAUACCGCGUGGGUGAAGAAGGCCUUCGGGUUGUAAAGCCCUUUUGUUGGGAAAGAAAAGCAGCAGGUUAAUACCCCGCUGUUCUGACGGUACCCAAAGAAUAAGCACCGGCUAACUUCGUG
rnacentral:rRNA from 1 species